UAAGACGUAGGAUGCAAGCGUUGUCCGGAAUUAUUGGGCGUAAAGAGUUCGUAGGCGGUUAUCUAAGUCUGGUGUUAAAGACGGGAGCUCAACUCCCGCAUGGCAUUGGAAACUGGGUGACUAGAGUGUGGUAGAGGUCUCGGGAAUUCCAGGUGUAGCGGUGAAAUGCGUAGAUAUCUGGAGGAACACCAGUGGCGAAAGCGCGAGACUGGGCCAUAACUGACGCUGAGGAACGAAAGCCAGGGUAGCAAAAGGGAUUAGAUACCCCUGUAGUCCUGGCCGUAAACGAUGGAUACUAGGUGUAGGAGGAUUCGACCCCUUCUGUGCCGUAGCUAACGCGAUAAGUAUCCCGCCUGGGGAGUACGCUCGCAAGAGUG
rnacentral:rRNA from 1 species